GAGGAGAAAAGCAGGGGAUCGCAAGACCUUGCGCUAAAGGAGCGGCCGAUGUCUGAUUAGCUAGUUGGUGGGGUAAAGGCUUACCAAGGCAACGAUCAGUAGUUGGUCUGAGAGGACGGCCAACCACACUGGGACUGAGACACGGCCCAGACUCCUACGGGAGGCAGCAGUGGGGAAUUUUGGACAAUGGGCGAAAGCCUGAUCCAGCCAUGCCGCGUGAGUGAAGAAGGCCUUCGGGUUGUAAAGCUCUUUUAGUCGGAAAGAAAGAGUUGCAAUGAAUAAUUGUGAUUUAUGACGGUACCGACAGAAAAAGCACCGGCUAACUACGUGCCAGCAGCCGCGGUAAUACGUAGGGUGCGAGCGUUAAUCGGAAUUACUGGGCGUAAAGGGUGCGCAGGCGGUCUUGCAAGUCAGAUGUGAAAGCCCCGGGCUUAACCUGGGAAUUGCGUUUGAAACUACAAAGCUAG
rnacentral:rRNA from 1 species